rnacentral:snoRNA from 1 species
CCUGGUCCAUGAUGACUCCUAUUUACAUGGUGACUGCUGGAUGAAUCCUGCGGAUAUGGGGCUGAGACCGGCA